UACGUAGGCAGCAAGCGUUGUUCGGAGUUACUGGGCGUAAAGAGUGCGUAGGCGGUGUCGAAAGUUUGGCGUGAAAUCUCCCGGCUUAACUGGGAGGGUGCGCCGAAAACUGCGAUGCUGGAGUGUGGGAAAGGCAAGCGGAAUUCCUGGUGUAGCGGUGAAAUGCGUAGAUAUCAGGAAGAACACCCGUGGCGAAGGCGGCUCUCUGGGACGGUACUGACGCUGAGACGCGAAAGCGUGGGGAGCGAACAGG
rnacentral:rRNA from 1 species